rnacentral:rRNA from 1 species
UACGGAGGGGGCUAGCGUUGUUCGGAAUCACUGGGCGUAAAGCGCGCGUAGGCGGCUUGAAAAGUUGGAUGUGAAAUCCCGGGGCUUAACCCCGGAACUGCAUUCAAAACUUUCUGGCUAGAGACUUAGAGAGGUGGGCGGAAUUCCGAGUGUAGAGGUGAAAUUCGUAGAUAUUCGGAAGAACACCGGUUGCGAAGGCGGCUCACUGGCUAAGUUCUGACGCUGAGGUGCGAAAGCGUGGGGAGCAAAC